CGGGCGCUGCAAACCACACAGAUACCGUGUUAAAAGCACGCACAUACUUGCAGAGCUCAAAUUCAACAGUUACCACAAAGCACCAACAGCACACCAUAACAAUGUACAGAUAAAUAACUGAAACUUAAAAGAUGUCUACAUUCAUUGCUGAUUCGGCACAGGAAAAACAAGUAGCGGAUUUUGCC
rnacentral:lncRNA from 1 species